rnacentral:rRNA from 1 species
UGAAGACUCUACUUGACUAGCUGAGAGGAGGUGCAUGGCCGUCGUCAGUUCGUACUGUGAAGCAUCCUGUUAAGUCAGGCAACGAGCGAGACCACGCCACAGUUGCCAGCUCGUCCUCCGGGAUGGUGGGGACACUGUUGGGACCGCUCUGCUAAAGAGGAGGAAGGAAUGGGCAACGGUAGGUCAGCAUGCCCCGAAUUAUCUGGGCUACACGCGGGCUACAAUGGGUGGGACAAUGGGUAUCGACACCGAAAGGUGAAGGCAAUCUCCUAAACCCAUCCGUAGUUCGGAUUGUGGGCUGCAACUCGCCCACAUGAAGCUGGAAUCUGUAGUAAUCGUGUCUCAAAAUGGCACGGUGAAUAUGUCCCUGCUCCUU